rnacentral:rRNA from 1 species
UUGGCUUUCUAACCCGCACCACUUAUCGUGGUGGGAGACAGUGUCAGGCGGGCAGUUUGACUGGGGCGGUCGCCUCCUAAAAGGUAACGGAGGCGCUCAAAGGUUCCCUCAGAAUGGUUGGAAAUCAUUCAUAGAGUGUAAAGGCAUAAGGGAGCUUGACUGCGAGACCUACAAGUCGAGCAGGGUCGAAAGACGGACUUAGUGAUCCGGUGGUUCCGCAUGGAAGGGCCAUCGCUCAACGGAUAAAA